rnacentral:rRNA from 1 species
GAUGAACGCUGGCGGCGUGCCUAACACAUGCAAGUCGAACGCUUCCCUUCGGCGAAGAGUGGCGAACUGGCGAGUAAUACAUUAGUAACCUGGCAUCUACCGGGGCGUAACUGAUGGCUACGUCAGCUAAUACCUCAUAGCGCUAGAGAUCUCAUGAUCUAUAUAUGAAACGUUCUACGGUACUGGUAUUUGAUGGACUUAUGUCGCAUUAGCUUGUUGGUAGGGUAACGGCCUACCAAGGCGACGAUGCGUAGCCGGUCUGAGAGGGUGACCGGCCACACUGGGACUGAGACACGGCCCAGACUCCUACGGGAGGCAGCAGUAGGGAAUUUUCGGCAAUGGGGGAAAGCCUGACCGAGCAACGCCGCGUGAAGGAAGAAGUAAUUCGGUAUGUAAACUGCUGUUAUAGAGGAAGAACGGUGGAAAUAGGGAAUGAUAUCCAAGUGACGGUACUGUAUAAGAAAGCAACGGCUAACUACGUG